rnacentral:rRNA from 1 species
AGAGAACGCUGGCGGCGUGCUUAACACAUGCAAGUCGAACGAGAACGGAUUAUAGCUUGCUAUAAUUGUCAGCUAAGUGGCGCACGGGUGAGUAAUGUAUAGGUAAUAUGCCUCUUACUAAGGGAUAACAAUUGGAAACGAUUGCUAAUACCUUAUAUUCCUUUUUAUCAAAAGAUAAAAAGGGAAAGAUUUAUUGGUAAGAGAUUAGCCUGUAUUGUAUCAGUUAGUUGGUGGGGUAAUGGCCUACCAAGACGAUGACGCAUAACUGGUUUGAGAGGAUGAUCAGUCACACUGGAACUGAGACACGGUCCAGACUCCUACGGGAGGCAGCAGUGGGGAAUAUUGCACAAUGGACGAAAGUCCGAUGCAGCAACGCCGCGUGGAGGAUGACACAUUUCGGUGCGUAAACUCCUUUUAUAUAAGAAGAUAAUGACGGUAUUAUAUGAAUAAGCACCGGCUAACUCCGUGCCAGCCGCCGCAGUAA